UACGUAGGGUGCAAGCGUUGUCCGGAAUUAUUGGGCGUAAAGAGCUCGUAGGCGGUUUGUCGCGUCGAAUGUGAAAUCCCGGGGCUCAACCCCGGGCCUGCAUUCGAUACGGGCAGACUAGAGUUCGGUAGGGGAGUCUGGAAUUCCUGGUGUAGCGGUGAAAUGCGCAGAUAUCAGGAGGAACACCGGUGGCGAAGGCGGGACUCUGGGCCGAUACUGACGCUGAGGAGCGAAAGCGUGGGGAGCAAACAGG
rnacentral:rRNA from 1 species